rnacentral:rRNA from 1 species
GAUGAACGCUGACAGAAUGCUUAACACAUGCAAGUCAACUUGAACUUCGGUUUGGGUGGCGGACGGGUGAGUGACGCGUACAGAACUUGCCUCACAGAUAGGGACAACAUUUGGAAACGAAUGCUAAUACCUGAUAUUAUGAUUUUAGGGCAUCCUAGGUGUAUGAAAGCGAUAGGCGCUGUGAGAGAGCUUUGCGUCCCAUUAGCUAGUUGGAGAGGUAACGGCUCACCAAGGCGAUGAUGGGUAGCCGGCCUGAGAGGGUGAUCGGCCACAAGGGGCCUGAGGCACGGCCCUUACGCCUACGGGAGGCAGCAGUGGAGAAUAUUGGACGAUGGACCAAGAGUCUGAUGAAGCAAUUCUGUGUGCACGAUGAAGUUUUUCGGAAUGUAAAGAGCUUUCAGUAGGGAAGAAAAAAAUGACGGUACCAACAGAAGAAGUGACGGCUAAAUACGUG